CCAGAUGCGAGCCUAUUAUAGGUUCACUGGUGCCACCCAUCACCUAUAAGCACAACAACACAAUGUUCAAUGACUUCAAUCCCUCAUUUACAAACAAAUGAAUUUGAAAUUGCAAAAUGAAUAGUCUGAAAUAAACAAUGGAGAACACUAGUGUUGUCCAGACCAGCCAUGGUGAAGAUUCUCCUGGCCAAACCAUCCUUUUGCUCCAAUAACGCUUGCAUCAAGUGCUCAGAUUCCACCACCUGUUGCUUCCUAACUCCGGCGGCCUCAACUGCCCUAAUUUUGCCCUCCCACGCCAUCUCAGUGAACUCCCCCGCCCCAAUCUCACACACUCCCGAUGUUAGUUUCACAAAUCAAUCUAAAAAACCGAUCAAAAUGAAUCAGAAAUUGAAGAUUCGGAGACCUGAGCGGUGCUGUUGGCGGAGUAGAGACAAGGAGCGGAGGAGUGAAAGCUCCGAUUGAAGGCGUUUGCCAAAAUCGGGAAGCGUUGGCGUCGUUGAAGCAUCGAGGCUGCGUCGGCGCUAAGGCUUCGCGGCGUCGUUGCGUCAUCGGCGUCGGCGUCGGCGCUAAGGCUUCUGCGGCGUCGUUGCGUCGUCCAGGAGAAAGAGAGAGAGAGAGAGAGAGGCGGCGUCGUUGCGUCGUAGUUGGUGCCCUGGCCGGAGGUGCCGGAGAUGCCGCCGUAGACGUUGACAUAGUUGUCGUGGUCUUGGAUGUGGCCGCAGGAGGAGCAGUAGAGACGACUGGAGGCGUGAGAGAGAGAGAGAGAGGAAUCCAUAUGGAUCGGGAAGAGAGAAGAAGAAAGAGAAUAAAAUUGUGUGGUUUAAUUAAACACAGGGUAAUAACGAUUUUUUCUCAAAAAUCAUUAGAAUGGGCACAAAAAUAAGACAUUAAUUAGAAUGAGUUUUAGUUUUCAAAUAUUUAGACAUUAGGACAUUUUCCCUUUUAUUUACUUUUCUGAAAACAAAAUUUAAAACACGGUCAAGCUGAGAAACUCAACCCUAUGUAUAUAUGCUAUUUAUCAUUCAAAAUAUGUACAAAUCCUGAGGACUUAAAUCUAGAAUUCCUAGAAGUAAUACAUCAUGAAAUAGAACAUCCUCAAUUAGUUUAGUGACUAAUAAUUGUAUGGAACAUAAGCUUCGAUUCGUUGGCCCCUCUUCACCUCUUGCCGCAUUUGCUGAAUAUUAUCUCAAAUGAAUACAUCACGAUCUUGACGGCCGACCACUGGGACCCUGAAUCUUCAUGUUCAGUUGCUUAGAAGUAAACCAAAAUUUUUAAUGCUUAUCAACCACAUGAUUCAGUAACAAAUCCAACCAAAAAAAUAAUGAAAGAAAGCCUUGGUCUUUCACCUUUGGUCUGUUUGCAAGAUAGAACCUACGAAGCUCAAGAAAAGAUAUAGUGAGGAGACUUUGCAGAGGAUGAAAUAAUCAAAAGCUACGACUCAAGUCACUAAAGAACAUUAGUGACCAGAUGGAUCUCUAUUAUUCCAUCCUCUACAAAGCCUCCUCACUUGAUUUUCAGCUUCUAAAUACUUUACUUCAAGGUGGUUAAACUAUUUGAUUAUAGGAUAUAUGGGAUCUUGCCUCUGCACAAAGUAUGGAAACUUACAGACUUAUGGUGAUCUAGCUCAAAGAACCAUCUUCAGCUACUUCUUUAUAACCAUAUCCUGCGGAUGAACACGAUUGUCAUGUCCAUCGAUCUUCACGUGCCUUGAUGUGGUACGUAUUCACAAGAAAAUUGAUGGUGUUCCGCUAUAUACCAAGGUACUGAGAAAAUGACCAGACUAUGAGCAGGCACGUUCAUUGAGUACUAUGGACUAGAAAUGUCAUGUCCUCUAACGAUUCAUACGUCUUUUCUGAGACCCUAUACGAAUAAACAGCAUAUUUGGAAGCUAGCUUAUCUCCUUUUCAACUUCAUGCGCGCAGCUAGCUCAGAAACAACUGAUAACUGCUAACAUGGUAGACAUGAUAGAAACUCUAACAAAUCUAUCUGCAGAAAGAUGAAAAUACAGAGAGAAGUGAAGAGAAACCUGUAGAGCAAUUCUCAGAGUUCUUCAAUUAUGAAAGCGUAGCUAAGAUUACAACUCAUACAGCUAUAUAGUUUUCUUAACAGAAAGAAUAAAACUUCUACUUAUUACAUCAUAAAAGAAGCUGAUAUUUUCCAAAGUCAAGUCAAUACUGCUCCAAGGAUGACAGCUAUACACCACUUACUGGAAGACUUAGCUGAAGCCUUAAUUAGGAUUAGUCCUAAUUAACACACCCCCUCAAUCUCAGCUUGGGUGAACAAAAUGAGAUUGACAGAAUGACCUUUGAACACAGGACUGUGUAAUCCCUUUGUUAAUAUAUCAGCAGUCUGAGCUUCUGUGGAAACAUAAUGAAGAGCUAAGUCACCUUUCUGAACACUUUCUCUAACAAAGUGAAAAUCAUUGUCCAAAUGCUUUAUCCUUGAGUGAAAGACAGGAUUUGAACAUAAGGCAAUAGCAGAAAGAUUAUCACAGUUCAAAAGAGGAGGAGCGGGAAUUGGAAUUUUUAGAUCACAAAAUAUAUGUCUCAACCAUGAAAUCUCAGCAGCAGUGUUUGCAAGAGCCCUAUAUUCUGCUUCUGUUGAACUUCUGGGCACAGAACCUUGUUUCUUUGAUUGCCAUGAUAUUGGACAAUGACCAACAUAAACAACAAAGCCUGUAGUAGACCUUCUCUGAUUAAUAUCACCAGCCCAAUCAGCAUCACAAUAAGCAGAAACAUAUGUGACACUCUCAGAAUACUUAUAAAACAAUCCCUUAUUCAAGGUAUGCUGAAGAUAUCUCAGAAUUCUUUUUACAGCAGCAAAGUGUGUGUCAGUUGGAGAUGACAUAAAUUGACAAACUGUAUUGACAGCAUAUGCAAUGUCUGGCCUUGUAAAAGUAAGAUACUGUAAAGCACCAACAACACUUCUAUAAAGUGUAGGAUCAGUAAGAAGAGUACCUUCAGACUUAAGAAGUUGAGUGUGAGGCAAACAGGGAGUAUUACAACCAGUACAAGUACUCAUACCUGCUCUACAGAUGAGAUCCUUUGCAUAUUUCUCUUGAGAUAGAAACAAUCCAGAAGAUAAGUACUUGAUAUUUAUGCCCAAAAAAUAUGACAAUGCCCCUAAAUCUUUCAUAUCAAAAACUGCACUUAAUUGUUCAACAACAGCAGAUAUACCUUCUGAAUCUGAGCUUGUCAUGACUAUAUCAUCAACAUACAGUAACAGAAUUAUCACACCCUUUGCUGAAUGUCUGAAGAAUAAACUUGGAUCUGAAUGAGAAAACUGGAAGCCAAGAGAUGGAAGAAAUGCAGUAAACUUUUCAUUCCAAGCUCUUGGAGUCUGUUUUAAACCAUAAAGAGACUUUCUUAGUAAACAGACAUAACUAGGCAACUUUGGAUCAACAAAACCUUGUGGCUGAUGCAUAUAUACUUCUUCCUUUAAAUCACCAUGAAGAAAAGCAUUCUUCACAUCCAAUUGUCUAAGAUUCCAUCUAUAUAUAGCUGCCAAAGCAAGAAUUAAUCUCACAGUACUAUGUCUAACCACAGGACUAAAGGUCUCUUCAUAGUCUAUCCCCUUCUCUUGACUAUAACCCUGUGCCACAAGCCUAGCUUUAUAUCUAGAUAUAGUUCCAUCUGGAUUUUUCUUCAACUUGUAAACCCACUUACUCCCAACAAUAUUCUUUCGAAAUGGAACUAACUCCCAAGUUCCUUGUUUCUUCAAAGCUUCAAUUUCUUCUGACAUUGCAUUUUCCCAUUCUGAUAUACCAAUAGCAGUCUUAAAUGACUUUGGCUCUAUAGGUUCAUGAAUAUCAAGCACUGAUGAAAAACCACUGAAGAAUGCAAGUUCAUCUAUCUCAUUUAGAUGAGCUAUACAUGAAUAAGCACAAAAAUCCUCAAAUGUUUUUUUCUUGACUAUUCCAUUCUUAGCUCUGGUCAACAUUGAGUGAUUAUUAUAAGACUGUGACUCAUCUUCAACAAAAGAUAAUUCAUAAGGAAGAGAAUACUGAACAAGAUUUAAGCUUUCACCAACAAAAUUCUCUGCACUACCAGAAUUUUCAGAAGUUUCAGAAAUAUUUCCACUACCAUUACUUCCACUAUCAUUACCACCACCAUUACCACCACUAUAAUCUCCACUACCAUUACUUCCACUAUCAUUACCACCACCAUUACCACCACUAUUACCCCCCGCAGCAGACUCAACUAAAGAAUCAGUUGAAGGCUGAGAAAAAGGAGUAACCAUAUGAACUUGGUCAGUAUAUAAGCCAGAAGGAGAAGGCAUGCCAAAAGUAGAAGACUUGGUGGAAGAACCCUAAGUAGACUUAACAAUAGGAGUCUGACUGAUAACAUGAUAGGGAAAAAUGGAUUCAUCAAAGACCACAUGUCUACACAUCCACAACUUAUUUUUCUCAAUGCUAUAACAAUAAACACCUUUAUAUCCAAGAGCAAAUCCUAAAAACACACAUCUUGUAGUUUUAGGAUCAAGCUUGUCACUGGCAUAUGGACGAAGAAAAGGAUAACAAGCAGAACCAAAUACUUUCAUAUUUGACAAAUCAGGAGCUGAACCAAACAACUUGGAGAAAGGAGAUUUCAUACCAAGAACUUGACAUGGCAUUCUAUUAAUAAGAUAUGCAGAAUGAGCUACUGCAUGAAACCAAAAAGGUUUUGGAAGUUUGGCUGCAAUCAUUAAAGUGAUGCAUGUCUCAACAAUAUGUCUAUUUUUUCUUUCGGCAAUCCCGUUCUGUUGAGGAGUAUAUGGACAGGUAAUAUAAUGCAAAAUACCUUGUUGCUCCAAAAAAUUCUUAAAAACUUUACUGGUAUACUCACCUCCCCCAUCAGAUUGAAGAAUCUGAAUCUGUAAAUGAAAUUGGGUGUGGACAAACUGAUGGAACUUAACAAAUGUGGAAAAGGUAUCUGAUUUAUUAACAGGAGGAAAAAGCCAUACAAACCUAGUACAAUCGUCUAUAAAAGUUACAUAGUAUUUGUAACCUUCAAGGGAAAGACUAGGAGAAGGACCCCAAACAUCGGAAUGAAUCUUAUGAAAGGGAACCAUGGACUGAGACUUGGAUUCAGUAAAUGGAAGUCUAUGCAUUUUACUAGAAAGACAUGAUACACAAACAGAACUAAAAGAAUCAGAUACACCUUUGAUAUUGGAAUCAGACAACAACUUGGAGACAACUAGAGCUGGUGCUUUUGACACUUUGUCCUGCACACAGAUGUUCAAAUCAUCCAUAACUAUAUAGCAAUGAUUAUCCCUGCAUAACUUGUUGAAAGAAAGCAGGUUCACUGCUAAGCUUGGAACAUGAAGCACAUUAUUAAGACAAAAAGUAUGUUUAUCAGGAGUAAGAGAAGAGGAUCCGAUGUGUUUUAUUUUCAGACCUUCAGCAUUUCCAAUAGUGAUUGAAUUUGAAGACUCAAAAGGUUGUGCAAGAGUAAGAUUCCUUAUAUCAGCUGUCAUACACUACAACAAUUCUCACCAAAGGCCACAUACAACAAAUGUGGUAAAUAUGGUCAAAAGCCACACAUGUUCGUGUCAAAACCCCAUUUUGCCACACUACAGCCACAUAUUUUAGGUAUGUGGUGUAUAGAGCCGUUGCAAUGAGAGAAACAGCCACAUUUAAAUUAGAAUGUGGGUGAUAAUGGAUUCUGACCAUUGUGGGCCCAGUAAUGUCAAUGGUGGGUAGAAAUCAUUAUUAUAAUUGUUUUUUCUUUUCCUUUUUUUAAUUGUUUCUGGUCCAUUUUCCAGUCUUUCUGGGGAUAUGGUUCAUAUCGAUCUGAAUGUGAUUUCAUCUCUCUGGGGAUGGAUGGGUUCAGUGAUGAUCUUUAGUUGAGUCAUUGUCAUAGUAUCUGCUAGUGUGACGAAUUUUGAGAUCGAUGAUAUGCAUAGACUCCCAUCAUUGAAACGCUAAGCAACAUUCAGAUAAGGUCGACAUUCUGAGGUUCUUUCAAUUUUACUUGGUGUGCAUCAUGACGACCAUCCUUGCAUACAUAGAACAAUGAGUGUGUUAACUCAGAGCAGAGACUUCUCAAGUUAUCAAAUCUGUCAAAAUCAUAUAGGUUCAGUUAACAUCGAAGCAAAAUGAAUAGAUAUAGCUAGCAAAGACAAAAAAAUUUACAACAUAACCCAAACCUGAUAUCAUACAGCGAAGAACAAUAGUUUGGUCCCAGAUCUAGGAGGCGGAGAAUACAUAGCUACCAUGAGUCCAUCACGUUGAAUCCACCCACUUCAUCCAUAACAACCAAAUCAAGAGAAAAGAUCGAAGAAACCCAUUUAAUUUCCAGCAUUUAAAUCCAUAAUUGAAAACGAAAAAAAUACCUUGUACCUAUAUUAAGUCAAGGAUUCAAGAAUGGCCGGCAACACUUCUUUCCUCAGAUCUGGUUUUCCAAACUUCACAGAGGCUAUCACCACCAGGUCAGUGACGCUCAAGCAACAUCAGAUAGUUGAGAUUGCCCUCUUUCCCCUUCAUGGAUGAUUCAUUGGAUGAUAAAUGGAUGGUUAGAGUGAGAUCAGAGCUUGAAGAUAAGAUAAAAGAAAGGAGAGAAGAGAGAGAAGAGAGAGAAGAGAUGAGAGAAGAAGAAACGAGUCGGACCAAUUUUUAUCAAACAUCAAUAUAAAAUCUUAAAAUAAAUACCCACUCAUGAAUAAAAAAGGUAAAAGUAUUUAUUGACAAGAAAAAAAAAAUUUAAUUGAAGCCUGGCCUUUUUAUGUACGUGGUUUUAGGAAUACAAUUUGAAUAACUAUAAAAUAUUAUAUUUGUAUACAGAAAAACAAUAAAUUAUUGCAUUGCCACACUUUGGUAUAAGAAAGUGUGGUUCGUGAGAGAAACAGACACCACCUGCCCCAGUCUCCACAUUUGCUCAUGUUUGUAGCAAUGUCAAAUGUGGCUGUUGCCCCUAGUUGUUGUGGUGGUUGCUCCUGUAUCACGAAUCCAGACAUCAUUGCAAGAAUAAUGAGGACCGCCUCCACAUGAUUGAGCAGUCAUUGCUGUGAGACUUGGCGGAGGAUGAGUACCCUGAAAAGCAUAGUUGCUUCUCUGACCACAGUUAAGAGCUACAUGACCCUUAAUCCCACAAAUUUGACAGGCAACUACUGCACUAUCUCCAGUAGAAGAAGAACCAACUCGAAGAGGAUAGUUGACAGCAGUGUGACCUCUUUGGCUACACAAUUGACACUCAGGAGAAACACCAUUCAUAUUUCUUGAGACACUAUACUGAGGAGUACCAUUUUCAUUUCUUGGGCCACCAUACUAAGGUCUAUAGAAAGGAGAAGCUGGAUUAUUGAAGCAUCUGCGAGCAAUAUGACCCUUUCUGUUACAGAAAGUACAAGUGGCAUUCUGAAAACACUCUGAAGCAACAUGAUCACUUCUAUUACAGAUUGGACAAGACAUAGCACCUCCCCCAAAAUUCUUAUACCCUCCACUGAAUUGAGAUGUGCCACUGUCUCCUCCAACAUUUUUAUAUCCUCCACCAUUACUGCCAUCACCAACAAAAUUCUUAUACCCUCCACUGCUAGACUCAUUGUGUCCUCCAUUCCAAGACACAUGUUUAUCAUUUUCUCCAUGCCAACUGCCCUUACCCUUGUCAUUGAAAUGACUAGAACUGCCCUUGUAAGACGUACCUCUAGCUGACAUUGCAGUCAUAGAACUAAGAGGAGAAGUUGAGAAGAGAGAUUCUAUAUCUCUCUCUGCAGCAAUAAGCUGAGCUCGAAAAUCUUUAAGAGAGAUAGGAGUAUCUCGAGCCCUGAUCACAGUCUUUAUCAUUGAAUACUCAUCAGGCAAGCCAUUCAGAGUUACAACAAUAAUAUCUUCAUCCACAAUUUGUACUCCCAUUGAACCUAGCUGAUCUCUAGCAUGCUUGAUUCGAAGAAGAUACUUGUCAAUUGUAUCAGCUCCUUUUUUAAUAGUCUGCAAAUCAGUCUUUAGUUGCAUGAUAUUAGCUCUAGAGUCUGUUGAAAACUGUUCCAACAAAGCACUCCAUGCCUCAUGAGCAGACCUGCUACCCACAAUUACAUCCAUUGUGUCAUCAUCAAAAGUAGCCAUCAGAAGGCCUAGCAAAGCCUUAUCACACAUUUUCCACUGCUUAUAAGCUGAAGUGACUUCAUUCGUGACAGUACCAUCUUCUGUGAGAGCAUAUCUAAGAGGACAAGGGUAAGUACCAUUGAAGUAGCAGAACAGAUCAUUUCCCUCCAAGACCGACUAAAACUGAUAACUCCAUUUAACAAAAUUUGUUUCACUGAGCUUCACUGUGAUCAUACUCAGCAAUGAAUUAAUCUCUGAUUGAGUAGCAAAAGGAGACUGACUAGUAGAUGUAGUCGAAGCCAUUACUCAAAUAUGAAGAAACAAGCACAGAGAUAACUCACAAACUCUAUUCAAUCAAACAACACCGAGUUCAACAACACCAAGUUCAUCAUUCAAACAAAUAGUCUUCAUAACAACUAUAGAAACUUCUGCAUAAAGACCUACUUUCCAGAAUCACAAUCUUUAGGAUCUAUUCCACCAACCUUCUACUCUUCACAAUCCACAAAACGUCUACUCUUUACUAAAACAACUACCUCCGCAGAAAUAAGAUCUACUCCACUGAAACAACUACCUCCCCAAGAAAAUACUCUACUGCAACAACUACUUCCACAGGAAAAUACUCUACUCCACUGAAAAACAACUACCUCCACAUAAAACAAGAUCUACUCCACUGAAAAACUUAUUACAGCGAUAUUUCACCAUUCUACCAACACAUAGCAACGAGUACAAGAAUUCAAAAACCAAAGCAUAAUCUGAAGGCGACUUGAUCAAAACAGGCAUCUCACUACAAAUCGAGUUAGAUUUAGAGCUACAGACUCCAACAAAUAGAUCGCACAGAGAUCUCAAGCAUCAAGAGCAAGAAUGGCUACAUAAACAUCAGCUAGAGCUUCGAUCGUACACAGUGGCGUAGCUAGAAACUCGAUUUAGAAGGGUCAAGACUUAAGUGACUAAUAAGUUAAGGAUUAAAUUCAGUUUGCCCUCUCGUGCUUUAGGUCAAUAAUCAGUUUGGUAUCAUAUUUUUUUUUAAUAACGUUGGUCCUUGUACUCUCAAAUGACAUCAUCUAAGUCCAAAAUUUGAAUUUUAAUGCAAAAAUGGGUGAGUUUGGUCCUUGAAAAAUGACUUUUUUUCAUCGUUAGAAUGUUUAUUUGUCCUAUUUGUAGGUUAAAAAACUCAAAUGUGGAUCUCUAUGUCAGUUUCAAGUCAGCAAAUAAUAUUAUUUUUGAAGCCAUAUUAAAAUUUUGGACUUAGUUGAUGAUGUUUGAGAGUACAAGGACCAACGUUAUUAAAAAAAAAGAUAUGGGACAAAACUAAUUAUUGACCUAAUACGAGGGGGCAAACUUAAUUUAAUCCUUAAAUUAAUUAAGACAAAAUAUCAAUACGUAGUCGUUUCAUAGAAAAUCUUUUAAUCGUUGGUUUAUACCUAACAUUAUAAAUUACCUCAUUAGAUUGAUUCAUGAGAGAAAUAUCGAUUAUGAAUUCCUUUUUCCUUUGUAUUUAUAGAAACUGUGAAGAAAUUUAUCAAACAUUACCAUUAGAAAUGAAAGUAAUGUCAUUUGUAGAAACUUAAUAGGAGGGUCAUUUCUAUUUUUCUAUACAGACCACUUAACUAAUUAACCAAAAAUUAUGUAUGAGAAAGGUCAACUGACCCUUCUCGCCCCCCUCUCCCUACGCCCAUGAUCGUACAUAAACAAAACAGAUCUAGGUUUUCGAGAUCAAAAACAAAAUUGAGCGGAAGCAAGAGCUAAAGCAAAUGAUAUCAAGCUCAAAACAAUCACAGAAUCAAGAGCCGAAGCUCUGAUACAAUGCUAACAUGGUAGACAUGAUAGAAACUCUAACAAAUCUAUCUGCUGAAAGAUGAAAAUACAGAGAGAAGUGAAGAGAAACCUGUAGAGCAAUUCUCAGAGUUCUUCAAUUAUGAAAGCGUAGCUAAGAUUACAACUCAUACAACUAUAUAUAGUUUUCUUAACAGAAAGAAUAAAACUUCUACUUAUUACAUCAUAAAAGAAGCUGAUAUUUUCCCAAGUCAAGUCAAUACUUCUCGAAGGAUGACAGCUGUACACCACUUACUGGAAGACUUAGCUGAAGCCUUAAUUAGGAUUAGUCCUAAUUAACAAGGAAUAAUGUCCAUUUGGUACUAAUUAUUGGGCUUUAUUGCCCAUUCUAAUAAAGACUUUUUCUCUAUGCCUAUUCUAAUAAUUCUUAAGAAAAAGACAAAUAUACCCUUAAUUAUCACACACACAUCUCUCUCGUUUCUUCCUCCUGAUCUGAAACAUUUUCUCUUUCUCUCCCUCUCUUCUCUCUCUCCCUCUCUCUCAUCCCUUCCGAUCAGAUCGUCAGAAAGCUUCUGGUCGACGAUCAUCGUCGAUGGGGGUGUCGCGGUUGGCAACCCGGUUGACGUGGCCAAGAUGAGGAUGCAGCGAAGCUCAUUCCGGCUUUGUUCCCCCGUUUCGGCUCCGCCAAUUUGGGAAUCGGACUCUGUUCCUGGCGUCGAGCUCCUCCGCCACAAUGUACUCGCAUUCUAGCUUCAUCGGAGACGAUCGGUCCUUCAUCUUCGUUGAAGAUGCCUUCGCAAACGAGAAGAUCGGCGGGGGUCAAGUCCAAGCAGCCGAGCUCCGACCUCCGAUCUUCAAAACCAGAGGCAUUGGCGAUGAGAGCCGAUCUCCGCCACGCACCACGGCAGCCUCCGAUCAUAGUUGGUUGUCCUCGCUUGGUCGCACGUCGUCAAUUUUCAAGAGACCGAUCGAGUUCUUCCGGGUAAUAAAGUUCUAUUGGAGUAAAAAAAAGUUCUACUGAGGGGUGAAAAGUUUAUUAUUAAAGUAAUAAAUGUAUUACUGGAGGUAAUACUGUUUUGUAAGUUUACUAGCCCCAGUAAAAUUUACUAGGGGUAGUAAAUUUUAUUUUUUGCAUCGAAGUUGAUUUUUCUCCGUUUUAAUGUGUACUUAUGGCCUUGGAGAUAUUAUUUUGCAAGCUUACUACCCCCAGUAUAAGUUUACUGGGGGUAAUAAACUUUAUUUUUUCGCAUCUAAGUUGUUCUUCCUCUGUUUUAGUGUGUAUUAUAGCAUUGAAAAUAUUUUUUUGCAAGUUUACUACCCCUAAUAAAAGUUUACUGGGGGUAGUAAAUUUAGUUUUUCAAAUCUAAAUUGUUCUUCCUCUGUUUUAGUGUGUAUUAUGGUCUUGAAAAUACUGUUUUGCAAGUUUACUACCCCCAGUAAAAGUUUACUAGGGGUAGUAAAUUUUAUUUUUUUCGCAUCUAAGUUGAUUUUUCUCCGUUUUAAUGUGUACUUAUAGCCUUGGAGAUAUUAUUUUGCAAGAUUACUACNNNNNNNNNNNNNNNNNNNNAAUGACACAAGACUAAGAACGCAUAAGAGCACAAACCUAAGAAUAAGAAAUUGAUAUUAUGCUACUAUCAAUCUAUCAUAGUCUAAACCUAAAGGAGUACGUAUGAACAGUUUUCAAGAGCACAUGAGCAAUCAAACCUUUAACAUUGUCUGUUGUCAAAAACUGGAAAAUCUGGAGUUUGUUAUGUCAAGAUUUGCUGACAGAUGGUUCGAAGGAUUCAAUUUGAGAUGUCCACUACUUGAGAGUUUGACAAUACAUUGUUGCAAGCCAUUGCAACGGACGCAGGUGGGGGCCAGUGCCACUGCCCCCACUCAACUUUUGAUGUCUGGGGUUUGAAGUCUUUUUUUUUAUAUAUUUUUUUUUUAAAAUUUGCUCUCCCCUGUACACUUUUGCUCUCCCUAACGUUCUGUAUCCCACUACUAUAUAUAUAUAUGGGAUCAGUAAUCACACCAAACAGGCCUAAAAUUGGAUGUUUAGAUAAGGAUUGAGCCCAAAAUUAAUUAGUAGAGUCCCACUUCGAACCCUAAAUUCUUGCAGAAUUGGGUGAUCAAUUUUCAUGUUUUUUUUUUCCUUAUCUGGGUUUUCAUUUUAAUGAAAGAUUAAUGAACGGUGAAUUUGGAAUCCCUUUAUUCUCUAUAAAAGGAACAAUGAGUCUCUUUAGAUGUGUUCAUAUUAGAUGUUUGAUGUGGAAAACCUGCAAUUUUAUAGUGUCUGAUUAGGAUUUCAUAUGAUUAGUGGAAAAAAAAACUUCAAUAUAUUCCAGAAUAGUAUAUUGAUUAACUAGCUGAAGAGCCACCAAAACGGAGAUCCGAGAGAAAGAGGAAAUGAACACUGAGCUGUUUCUAUAUGUUGUUUAGCCUCAAACUUUUUGCCCCCACUGACCUGACUUUUUGCGUCCGCCACUAAGCCAUUGGAAUAUAUCAAGGUGAUUAGUGAAAGCAUGCAUCGCUUCUUUUGGAUGAUGGAUGAAGUAUGGCUCCCUUUUCCCUGAAUGCUCCAAACCUAAUUAAAGGAAGCCAUCAUAGUACAAGAGUAUGCCUCGUACGUAUCAAAUUCCUAUCCACCACCAUUGCCUCAUAUUAGUGCUCCAGCAACUAAACGACUUGAGGACGAAACCUUGUUGUGGAUGGCGCCUUCAUUGAAGCCUUUGUCUAUCAAACACACGAGGUACCUAGUAGUGCCUUAAUCUGGGACUUUUAGGUAAAUUGUUCGAGCAUAGAAUUUUAUUGUUCAUAUGAACUUUUGUUUUUCAGAUUUUAAAUUCUGAUUUUUCCUUCAUUUUUAUAUUUUGUUUAGUUUGAUUUAUAAUAAAAUCAAUUAGGUAAUGCCACGUCACUUGCCACAUCAAUUAAUUAUAUGUUGAUAUCAUAUUUACAAUUGAUUUGGACUAUUGAAUGCUUUAAGAUCUAAUGGCCAGGAAAUAGUGUCAAAAUUUGUGUUAAAUUUGAUUUGAACCGGACCUUAUUCCUUAUAUAUUAAUAGUGCACUUUAGUUGGUGUACUAUUUCUAAAAUUUUCCCUUAACAUAAGCCAUCAGACUUUCUAAAGUGUGUGGUGAGAAUCUGGAAUCGUAUGUCAAAAUGAAAAGAGAAGAAAUAAUUCUCAAACACGAAGACUUUAUGUUAAAGGCAAGGAGAGAGGAAGGGCCAAAAAUAGCGGUGGUGGAUUUGAAGAAAGGGGGAGGUCUAAAUUCAAAGAAAAUGACAAAGAAAAGAAAGACGGUUGCUUCAUAUAUGGUAUUAUGGUAACAUGGUUUACCCAACCAUUGUAAAAGGAAUUGUAAAAUAUGGAAGGAGAAAAAAACGCAUAUGUUAGUGAAAGCUCUAAGUCAGUCAAUUUCGUUAUUAAAUAGUGAUGAUGGAGAACCUUUUGAAAUCUCAAUCAGCUCUAGCGCGCCCAAACAUUAGGCCUUGGAUACAACUUGCACAUUUCACAUGUGUGUGCACAGAUAAUUGCACAUUUCACUCAUUUUCUUUCUGCUACGACAUUACAUCUAACAGACGAAGGUGUCUCAAAUCACGUUCAUGUAGUAAUACAAACUUAUUGUCAAAAACAUAAAAUAGAGAAUGCAACUGUUUUACGUAAGGUGAUAGCCACGUGGUUGAAUUUGCUCAACAGUUGAAAAUGCAAUAUCAAUCUUUAAUUCUUGGCCUUACAACGAUCUCUAAUAUUUUAAAAGAGAUAUGACCGGAACACUUCAAUAGUUUCUUUUUCGAAAUAGCAAUGAUGAUCGCGCCUCAAGUUAUUCAUGCAACAUAUAUUGCAGUACACAACAAUGAUGUUGGUACGGUGAAAUUUGAACGUGUGGUUACACAACAAAGAACCAAGUAUAGCCUUUGUCGCAUAUUAUGGAAUUUCAUGGUCCUCUCAAGUUAACUUGAAGUGAUCUUGAAAUUCCAUCAGAGUGUCCAGAUGCUUCUCGUAAAAAAUUUCAUACAAAGGAGGUUAAUCUUACAGAGUAUCUUGCUCAAAUGUGGAAACUUGUAUUGUUGAUUUCAGGUGGUGGUAAAAUAACCCAACAAGAGAUUAUUAACUGAAAGAUAAAUGAGCAAGUGAAAAAUUUGAUUACAUGGCUGUAAAAGUUGCUUCCACAAAAAGAUGACAAAAAUUUCGUGAUCAGCAUGACGACUUCACAAUACAGAGCUAUGAGUGUGGAUUUAAAAGAGAAAGCAAUUAGAGCAUAUCCACCCUCUGGGUCUUCGUUGGGAAGGCCUGGGUCAUGGGCGAGACCUGGGUCGCCACGUGGCAGUGAUUUUGAGCUGCAGUUUUCACCCACGAUUUUUGUUUCUGGGUCGCCACGUGGCAGUGAUUGUUUAUUGAAUUUUAUAUUAGGUAUUAUUUUGAAUGUGAAUAAUGAUUUUAUAUAUUAAUAAAAUUAUGAUUAAAUAAACAAAAUGACAUAUUAAAAUUAAAUAUUUAUUUCAUGACUUAAAUUGACAUAUUAAGCCUAGAAAAAAAUAAAAUACAAUUAUUUAAAAAUAACACAAACAUAAUAUAAAACAAAUAAAAAAACCGCAAUCUAGAUAUCCAUGUUGCCUUGCACUUCCCAUAAAUGCUCGAUAAGAUCUUCUUGAAGGUUUAAGUGAUCGUACUGAUUCCUAAUUUCAUUGUACCACUCCAUGAAACCUUCAAAAGUAUGAGCAUCUCUACCAACUUCCUCAAAAUCUUGCCCGGUAGGUCCAUCCCAAACUUCAGCUAUCCUUGGCCUCGUAUUGUUGUCCUCUUCUUNNNNNNNNNNNNNNNNNNNNUAUAUAUAUAUAUAUAUAUAUAUAAUAAUUUAUCUUUGUUAACAAACUGGGUGUCUGGUUGAGUUGGUUUAGGGGACAUUUUUGUUUGAUGCGGCAAGCAGGUCAGUAGUUCGAGCGUAGGCCCCCUUGUCUGUUUUUUUAAUUUUUUUCCUUUUUUUUUUUUGCCCUUCUUCUAUUAGGUUUAGUCGUGAAAUUAAAAAAAAACCCUAUUCAAUUAUUGAUCACCUCAGUUUGAUUGCUGUUCCUCCGUCUCUCUACUCUCUGUUUCCUCUUAGUACUCAUACUUCUUAUCUUCAUCUUCAAAUUUCCCAACUCUAUCUCUUAAUUGGCUUUGUUUAUAUACUCAAACUCUCUUGUUCUAUUCCCUAAAGGUAUUCUUUUGAUUUCCUACAAUUUUAUACAUAAAUUGAAUAUACACAUAAUAAAUUUAACAACUUGUUCCUUGUAUUGGUUUGUAAAUUUAGAAGGGCCCCAAUUUUUUUCGCAUCGGGUCCUUCAAAACAUUGGACUGGCCCUGCUCCCUGUGCUUGCUCUUUUUAGUUUAUCUUGAUUUCCAUCGAUUUGUUCUUGAGGACACCCAAUUUGUCCUGUCUAUUGGUUUGAUAAGGAUGUAGAUCAGAGAUAUAAAAAUUAUGUUUUUUGGUAUUGCUUUAUGAAUGUUUGAUUGUGUUUUCUGUUUCCCUUGAUCUUGAGUUGAUUCAAAUUUUGUUCAUGUUGCAGUUUGUAAUGAACUAUAAUAGUGUAGUGGAAAAGGUUUUCAAUGUUGUUUUAUCAUCAAUUGCAUCUCUUUCUGCAGCAAUAUAGUCCAAAUAUAAAUGGCCUUAGCAACAAUUACAUUCCAUCUUGGGGUGAGUUUGAGAUUUUUACUGUUUGCUUCUCUUAUUCGUUGAUCUUUAUGUAGUCAUGAUGUUCUGGGUUCUAUUUGUUUCUUGAGAAAGCUGAGGAGAAUGGAGAAGAAAAAAGUUGAAAGCUUGAUUUAUUGUUGUUGAUUUCCAUUCGUGCUAUAAAUAUUUAGAAUAGCAAAACCUGUUUUCUGUUUGUGGAUUGAUAACAAUGAAGUUAUGUGUUUUCGCAGUGAUAGAUCUCAUGACAGAACCUGUGAUGAUGGUAUUUUCGUAUAUGUGUAGUGAUGUUUUCAUUAUUUAUUGAUUCUUUGAAUUCUCAGGAAACAAUAGUACAUGUGUAUUAUUUUGUUUUUAGAAAGCCAUUUUAGCAAAAAUGAGAGUAGAUAUCUAAAAAGGCUUAUAGUACUGUAUAAAUACAUAUUUAGAUUGGUAUGUUUUGGUAAAUCUGGGUGUUAAUCACUUACUACAAGGAAGAACAAAGUGAUAUAUGAUGCAUUACAUAUAGAAAUGAGCAUAAUGCAUCAAAUAGGAUUUCUUGACAGAUGAUAUAGGUGAACUAGACUGUCAGGAGUUUAUCAGGUCCCAAACUAGACCUCUUAGAGAGAUUUUCAUGACAAGUUGUAGGGUUGGGCAUGGGACGGGAUGAGACGGGAUUAGGGUCAUCCCACGGCCCGUCCCGGACAUUGCACACGGGACGGGAUCGGGGCAGGCCUUACAUUUUUAAGACUUGAUCCCACGCAAGUCCCGUCCCAAACGGGGCCGGGACGGGACGAGCCUAAUCCCACCAUCCCGUCCCAAUAUUACCUGAUAAUAAUAUAAAGAUUGCAUCAUAUGAAUCCAUAAUUCAUAACUAGAAUUCAACAAGUACUUAAGUUCACACAUCAUAAAGUUAAAAAAAAAAACAAAGAAUCUAGUGAAUCUGAAUAUCUGAGAGCACAACAAUACAGCUGCUACAACUACUUAAGUUCACAAUUGCUCCAAGCUGCUCCAAAUACAAACAAUUUCAACUCUAAUAAUCGAUGACAAUACCAGAGAAUGGACAUAGCAUAAUGAUAAGACGUAUUUGCACACGCAUCAAUUAACCCUGUCAACAAAUCAAUCGUAGUAUAAAGCAAGCAGGGAUCGUUCUAGACCGGGGAUCCAACUACAGGUAGAUCCAUCUAAUCUAAUAAAAAUGUACGAAAUAAGCAUAUNNNNNNNNNNNNNNNNNNNNGAGAGAGAGAGAGAAUAAUCUUGCCUGACGGAGGAAGCGGUGAGAAGGAGGCGCAGUGCUUGUUGCUGCUGCUUCGUUUGGAAGGAUUCACAAAAGUCGCACUGGUCCAAAGCGGAGGCUUGGGAAGAGGAAGCUGAGGAGGAAGCGGAGGCGAGGAGGAGGAAAGAGUGAAAGACUGAAAGACACAAAGAGCGAAAGAGUGAUAGACUGCAAGAGUGUUAGUAUUAGGGUUCAAAAAUGAAAAGCUGAGAUCAAAACAUCUAAAAAAAUCAAUGGCUGAUAUUACUCUAUAUUUUACACGGGACGGGACGGGCCUGACGGGCCUCAACUUUUCAGUCCAGCGUCCCAUCCCGUUGUUUUUCAACGGGAUGGGAUGGGACGGGCCUAGUGUUUUUAGACAUAGAUCCCGUCCCAUCCUGUCAAAUUUCGGGAUGGGACCGAGAUUUAGGUUUUUUAUGCCCACCCCUAACAAGUUGAAUUAGAAGGCAUGAUGGUACAAAAGGAGCACCCUUUUGUAAGUGCACACUUUAUGACCAUGGACAGGCUAGGAGCACCUUUUUGUGUAGGGAAUUGGGAGGUUAGGCUUCAAAGAUUGCUGGGUACACUCCUCAAGACAAGAUGGCCCUCAGGUACUCUUCAUGUUGUAUGGAAAUUUUCAGAUAAAUAAAAUAUGAAAUGUAUGUAUGUUCAGUGAUCUACAUGUAUGCAUGAAAUUCCUUAUAUAGCAUAACAGAACCUUAUGUUACAAAGAAUUAUCAUUUUUUUUAUAUUCAGGUUAUAGUCAACUCUAAAUAAUGUAUUUGUUACCGACAAGAAAAUAGCACUAGCAAUAUGUACAGCUAACACUGAGCCUUCAUUUAGAAUGGUUUUGGAGUUGUAAAGCUGAUCGAGUGUUGCUAUGGUAAGCUCUCUAUUUAUAACCUG
rnacentral:lncRNA from 1 species